CUCUAGUAUAAGCAAUUAUACCGCGAAACUGCGAAUGGCUCAUUAUAUAAGUUAUCGUUUAUUUGAUAGCACAUUACUACAUGGAUAACUGUGGUAAUUCUAGAGCUAAUACAUGCUAAAAAUCCCGACUUCGGAAGGGAUGUAUUUAUUAGAUUAAAAGCCAACGCCCUUCGGGGCUUCGUGGUGAUUCAUGAUAACUUUUCGAAUCGCAUGGCCUUGCGCCGGCGAUGGUUCAUUCAAAUUUCUUCCCUAUCAACUUUCGAUGCGAAGGUCUUGUCUUCGCAUGGUUGCAACGGGUAACGGAGGGUUAGGGCUCGACCCCGGAGAAGGAGCCUGAGAAACGGCUACUACAUCCAAGGAAGGCAGCAGGCGCGCAAAUUACCCAAUCCCGACACGGGGAGGUAGUGACAAUAAAUACUGAUACAGGGCUCUUUUGGGUCUUGUAAUCGGAAUGAGUACAAUUUAAAUCCCUUAACGAGGAACAAUUGGAGGGCAAGUCUGGUGCCAGCAGCCGCGGUAAUUCCAGCUCCAAUAGCGUAUAUUAAAGUUGUUGUGGUUAAAAAGCUCGUAGUUGAACCUUGGGCCUGGCUGGCCGGUCCCCCUCACCGGGUGCACUGAUCCAGCCGGGCCUUUCCCUCUGUGGAACCCCAUGGCCUUCACUGGCCGUGGCGGGGAAACAGGACUUUUACUUUGAAAAAAUUAGAGUGCUCCAGGCAGGCCUAUGCUCGAAUACAUUAGCAUGG
rnacentral:rRNA from 1 species